rnacentral:rRNA from 1 species
CCUACGGGAGGCAGCAGUGAGGAAUAUUGGUCAAUGGACGAGAGUCUGAACCAGCCAAGUAGCGUGAAGGAUGACUGCCCUAUGGGUUGUAAACUUCUUUUAUAAAGGAAUAAAACGAGGCACGUGUGCCUUUUUGCAUGUACUUUAUGAAUAAGGAUCGGCUAACUCCGUGCCAGCAGCCGCGGUAAUACGGAGGAUCCGAGCGUUAUCCGGAUUUAUUGGGUUUAAAGGGAGCGUAGAUGGGUUGUUAAGUCAGUUGUGAAAGUUUGCGGCUCAACCGUAAAAUUGCAAUUGAUACUGGCAGUCUUGAGGACAGUUGAGGUAGGGGGAAUUCGUGGUGUAGCAGUGAAAUGCUUAGAUAUCACGAGGAACCCCGAUUGCGAAGGCAGCUUACUAAACUGUGACUGACAUUGAUGCUCGAAAGUGUGGGUAUCAAACAGGAUUAGAUACCCCAGUAGUC